rnacentral:rRNA from 1 species
UACGAAGGGGGUUAGCGUUGUUCGGAAUUACUGGGCGUAAAGCGCACGUAGGCGGCUCUGUAAGGUGGGGGUGAAAUCCCGAGGCUCAACCUCGGAAUUGCCUUCAAGGCUGCAGGGCUUUAGUUCGAGAGAGAUGAGUGGAAUUCCCAGUGUAGAGGUGAAAUUCGUAGAGAUUGGGAAGAACUCCAGUGGCGAAGGCGGCUCACUGGCCCGUAACUGACGCUGAGGAGCAAAAGCCUUGGGAGCAAACAUG